AUGCCAUGGUAUGGACAUUCCCUCUGUAGGUCCUUUUGUAUUUCCCAUGCAUCAUAAAGUGAUUCACCUUCCUUUUGUCUGAAGGUAUUGAGCUCAAGCCUCAGUCU